rnacentral:rRNA from 1 species
AUAUAACGAGUGAUUCGGGCUCGGCCGAUCCUCCCACCCUUUGUGUACCUACCUCUGUUGCUUUGGCGGGCCGCGGUCCUCCGCGGCCGCCCCCCUCCCCGGGGGGGUGGCCAGCGCCCGCCAGAGGACCAUCAAACUCCAGUCAGUAAACGAUGCAGUCUGAAAAACAUUUAAUAAACUAAAACUUUCAACAACGGAUCUCUUGGUUCUGGCAUCGAUGAAGAACGCAGCGAAAUGCGAUAAGUAAUGUGAAUUGCAGAAUUCAGUGAAUCAUCGAAUCUUUGAACGCACAUUGCGCCCUUUGGUAUUCCGAAGGGCAUGCCUGUUCGAGCGUCAUUACAACCCUCAAGCUCUGCUUGGUAUUGGGCACCGUCCUUUGCGGGCGCGCCUCAAAGACCUCGGCGGUGGCGUCUUGCCUCAAGCGUAGUAGAACAUACAUCUCGCUUCGGAGCGCAGGGCGUCGCCCGCCGGACGAACCUUCUGAACUUUUCUCAAGGUUGACCUCGGAUCAGGUAGGGAUACCCGCUGAACUUAAGCAUAUCAAAAGCCGGAAGGAAA